CAAGGUUCGCCUACGAUCGCAUUGUCGCUGCAAUGCGCGGUUUGCAUCCCCGAGGUGCAGGCAACACCGUUGAAAUGCUGAGCGUGUCGGCGAAAGCCUUCCGAUCAGCAGCCAGCGCGCCCGCGCCCGGCUCACAGAUCAUCCGACGGUGACCUCUCGGGGUUAAGAUAUGAUCGAUCCCGGCCCUCGCGGGCUUUGGAGAAACGGAACCUGCGGAAGGAUCAUU
rnacentral:rRNA from 1 species